GGCCUGAGCUAUUUAUUUAACGCUUUGCAGCGUGGAGGAAGUCUCCUGAAGGGCACAACUCGGAACCUUGGAGCCAUUCUGCAAAGUGUAGCUUGGAUUGUUUCCUGCGCGUGCCUGUCAAUCAGUGACGGAAGCACACGCGAUCAGCCGGCAGCUCGAGCUCGCUUCAUUCCCGGCAGUGUUCUAAAUGGCUGACAGCACUUUCAUUGAGGAAACCCACCCUUAUGGGUGUAAGGAAGGAUUGGAAUGGGGAUACGAAGAAGGAGUGGAAUGGGGACUAUUGUUUCCUGAGGCUAAUGGAGAGUAUCAGUCUCCUAUAAAUUUGAACUCCAGGGAGGCGAAAUAUGAUCCAUCGUUAUUGGAAGUGCGUUUAUCACCAAAUUAUGUGGUUUGUCGGGAUUCUGAAGUAAUGAAUGAUGGCCAUACCAUUCAGAUACUGCUGAAGUCCAAAUCGGUUUUAACUGGUGGUCCACUGCUUGACAAUCAUGAAUAUGAAUUGCAUGAAGUUCGAUUUCAUUGGGGUAAAGAGAACCAGCGUGGCUCUGAACAUACUGUUAAUUUUAAAGCAUUUCCCAUGGAGCUCCAUCUUAUCCAUUGGAACUCUACUUUGUUCAAAAGCAUUGAUGAAGCUUUGGGGAAGAAAAAUGGGAUAGCAAUCAUUGCUCUGUUUGUCCAGAUAGGAAAGGAGCACUUGGGCCUAAAGGCUGUCACUGAAAUCCUUCAGGAAAUCCAGUACAAGGGAAAAUUGAAAACCAUACCAUGUUUCAAUCCUAAUACCCUACUUCCUGAUCCACUCCUUAGAGAUUACUGGGUAUAUGAAGGCUCUCUGACCAUUCCUCCAUGCUGUGAAAAUGUGACCUGGAUAUUAUUUCGAUACCCUUUAACAAUCUCUCAGUUGCAGGGUGAAGACAAUGAACCCACAGUAUCCCACUGUAUGAGAAAUGGAUCUUUCUGAAGCUGCUGCUCCUUCAAAAUACAAAGCAUGUUUUGUGUUGCCGUCUAUAAUUAAAGCAGUGUUGAAAAGCAGCUGUGGCAGUUGGCUUGUUCUCAUAGUCCUGUUAAAUAUUCCAGAAAAAAGAGCUGAUGCACAAGAACAAGAGUUCAUUUUAGGUGCCCCCAUGCUUCACAUAACUGUUUUUGUAGACUGUUUAUGCAUUUGUCUUUUCUAGAUGGUCAUUUGUUAAACAUUUUAUUGAUAACAAAGAUUUUGUCAUAUAUUUGACACAAUUUAAUAAUGACCUGUAUUUCUGAAGUUUUUUGAGUUUGAAAUUUGUGAAGCGUUUGCUAGUUCUUUGCUGCUGGAUAUAGUAUGACUUUGCAUACUGUGGUUUAGCAGCUUUAAAAAGGAAGAAGUUUGCUCUUGGACAAACUGGUGUGACUUGAAGGUUAUUUGCAUUACUGAAUAAAACUGCAUUGUUUGCCAGUCCUUAUAAAGUUUUCAGUAGCCAGUUGGUUUGUCCUUUACCAAGGCAAUUGUUUAAUCUUGAGAAUGCUAUAUUUUGAAGUGUUAUUUUUUGCUCAGCUUCAUAAACUGCAAUUACUUUAAAUUGAAUGUCUGCCUGGAAGAAAGAGACAUAUCCUGCAAUUAUUUUUUACAAAGAGAAAGGGCUUCUGCAAUAAAUGAGACUGAACAAGUGCGAUAUGUGGAUUUUGCUUCAGAAGUACUAACAGUUUACAUCAAGAUUGAGGAUUUCCAAAGGCAGGAUCUAUUUGGAGGAUCUAUUGAAGGAUUAUGGGACCCUUUUUUUGAGAAAUUAAUUUACUGGAAUUUCUUGGAGUUUGCUUAGUUCCUCAUCACAAGUACUCUGAGUACAAAACUACAGCAACAUGAAAUAAGCUUAUGGCCUUAUUGAGGGCAGUAUUUAAUUCAAAUGUAUGAUGUAUUUGACUUCUGUGUAUUUAAAUGGAGGUAGGUUUACCGCACAAGGACUAGAAUUGAAAUCACAUCUUCCUUGUUAUGUCUAAGUAACUUCAAUGAAAACUCCUUAGAUUUAAAUUCUUAGUGCUGCGUAAAAAGAAAAUAAUGUUGAUGUCAUUAUUAUCUUGAGAAUUGAUGUCUUUGAGUUCUGCAGUAUGGUGCAAACUUUUGUAAUACAGUAAGAUAUGCGUGAAGACAAUAUCCAAAGCUAACCUUUAGGAGUAUUUCCAAAACUAUAAAAUAAAUAAUUGUCCUUGAUGUGAACACAUUAAACAUUUCCUAUCUCUAGAAUCCAUGACUAGGAAUCUUUCUUUGCUGAAAGUUCUGUGCUGUAAUUGAGUCUUUGGCUGACUACUCUUGUGUUGUAUUUAGUAUACAUUCAAUCACACAUUCUCCUUUUAACUAACUUAUAUCAUGUUAAGUACAUAUUCAGUAAAGUCUUAAAAGACUUUAACCAGUUUUUAUAAUACAUUUAUAAAAAAAACUGGUUUGUUCGCCACAUUAAUACAAUAAUGACAAUAUAGUUUUUUAUACGAUUGUUUGUGGAUGUUAUUCUUGCUGUGAAUAUAUGUUUUAUAUUUUACAUCUUCUAUUAAAACUCCUAAGACAGUACUUCCUUCUCUCAAUAAUAUCUUGAUGUUUUUAUUAUUAGUAACUAUGACCAGAUCUCAGGAGUCAUGCAUCUGAUUUUCACCAUGGUGUAUUUAUUUAGAUAUAUGCAAGGGAGUAAAUAACUUAGCAGUGCAAAAAGGUACCUUGACACAUCUUGCACUAGUCACAUGUUUCAUGUCAUACACUUUUUUCCCUUUGUUGUAGAUCCUUCCAAUAAAUUCUGCAAGUAAAAAUGCAAAGUACAUACUUAGAUAAUGAACAUUUUUGCAGCUGGUAUACACAUGUAAUGCAUGGGGAAGGGUCACAUUUUGAAAGAACACAUCAUUUAAGAAAAAACUUAACAGAUAAUGUCUACUAGUCAAGGAACAGAAAACAACAACAAAAAAGUACUAGUAAACAACUAGCAAGCUGGAAACUGAAAACCCCCAAAACCACGGAAAAUAUUUUCAAAGUAUCCGCUGUUGCCAUCUUCCUUUCUUGUAAUCCAAGCUAUAGUACUAAAAUAACAUUUUAAACUUAGAAAUUCCCAACAAAAUCAUGAAUUAGCUUUUCACUGUUUGAAAUUUUGGGAACAUUUCUCUCUGCUGACCUGACACUCUGUAGAGGGGCUGGAACUUAAAUUCUGUUUUUUCUGGAACUUGUAAUGACUUUUCUGCAGAAAUGCCGGGUCAGUAACCACACACCCUUGAAUGUACUGUGUUACUUUUGUUAGGAGGAAAUAAAGGGAUACAGUAAUUAUUAGGGGGAAUAUAGGGGUACAGUAAGAACCUAUUGAAAGGGAAUGAAUUACUUAAAAUCUCCAAGCACAUCGGCAGUUAAAGGUUACCAGAUGAACCUUGCACAAUUUUAAGGGCCUGUAAACAACAGAAAGGCCUUGGAGCCGGACUGUAGUCAGAGGAUGGCAAUGACAACUAAGAUUAAGUGUGCUCUUCAACAGAUAGGGGAAGAACAGAUGGUAAUGUCUCUGCCUGGGUGAAAACAAAUAGGGAUGUUCUUGUUACCAGAGAUGUCUUGUAAUGUAAACC